rnacentral:tRNA from 1 species
GCGGGGGUAACUCAAUUGGUAGAGUGCUAGCCUUCCAAGCUGGAAGUUGCGGGUUCGAGUCCCGUCCCCCGCUCCA